CGUUUUUUGAAUAUAAUUUAAGAUUAGUCCUGCCCGUUGAUUUUGAAGAAUUGAAAGGCUGCGGUAUUUUAACUGUACGAAGGUAGCAUAAUCAUUUGUCUUUUAAUUGAAGGCUAGUAUGAAUGGUUUCAUGAAAAAUAAACUUUCUUUUUUUGAUAUAUUGAAUUUAAUUUUUUAGUUAAAAAGCUAAAAUCUUUUUAUGGGACGAGAAGACCCUAUAGAAAUUUACUUUAUUUAUAAUUUUUUGUUUUUUGUUUUUGUUAUGAAAUUUUAGAAUAUAAAGUUUUGUUGGGGUGACAUUAAAAUUAAUUUAACUUUUAUUAAUUUUUUCAUUUAUUUAUGUUUUUUUUGAUCCAGAAUUUUUGAUUAUUAGAUUAAUUUACCUUAGGGAUAACAGCGUAAUUUUUUUGGAGAGUUCAUAUUGAUAAAAAAGUUUGCGA
rnacentral:rRNA from 1 species